AGAGUUUGAUCCUGGCUCAGAUUGAACGCUGGCGGCAUGCCUUACACAUGCAAGUCGAACGGCAGCAUGAUCUAGCUUGCUAGAUUGAUGGCGAGUGGCGAACGGGUGAGUAAUACAUCGGAACGUGCCCUGUAGUGGGGGAUAACUAGUCGAAAGAUUAGCUAAUACCGCAUACGACCUGAGGGUGAAAGUGGGGGACCGCAAGGCCUCAUGCUAUAGGAGCGGCCGAUGUCUGAUUAGCUAGUUGGUGGGGUAAAGGCCCACCAAGGCGACGAUCAGUAGCUGGUCUGAGAGGACGAUCAGCCACACUGGGACUGAGACACGGCCCAGACUCCUACGGGAGGCAGCAGUGGGGAAUUUUGGACAAUGGGGGCAACCCUGAUCCAGCAAUGCCGCGUGUGUGAAGAAGGCCUUCGGGUUGUAAAGCACUUUUGUCCGGAAAGAAAUCGCACUUACUAAUAUUAGGUGUGGAUGACGGUACCGGAAGAAUAAGGACCGGCUAACUACGUGCCAGCAGCCGCGGUAAUACGUAGGGUCCAAGCGUUAAUCGGAAUUACUGGGCGUAAAGCGUGCGCAGGCGGUUGUGCAAGACCGAUGUGAAAUCCCCGGGCUUAACCUGGGAAUUGCAUUGGUGACUGCACGGCUAGAGUGUGUCAGAGGGGGGUAGAAUUCCACGUGUAGCAGUGAAAUGCGUAGAGAUGUGGAGGAAUACCGAUGGCGAAGGCAGCCCCCUGGGAUAACACUGACGCUCAUGCACGAAAGCGUGGGGAGCAAACAGGAUUAGAUACCCUGGUAGUC
rnacentral:rRNA from 1 species